rnacentral:rRNA from 1 species
GAUGAACGCUGGCGGCGUGCCUAAUACAUGCAAGUCGAGCGAACGGACGAGAAGCUUGCUUCUCUGAUGUUAGCGGCGGACGGGUGAGUAACACGUGGAUAACCUACCUAUAAGACUGGGAUAACUUCGGGAAACCGGAGCUAAUACCGGAUAAUAUUUUGAACCGCAUGGUUCAAAAGUGAAAGACGGUCUUGCUGUCACUUAUAGAUGGAUCCGCGCUGCAUUAGCUAGUUGGUAAGGUAACGGCUUGCCAAGGCAACGAUGCAUAGCCGACCUGAGAGGGUGAUCGGCCACACUGGAACUGAGACACGGUCCAGGCUCCUACGGGAGGCAGCAGUAGGGAAUCUUCCGCAAUGGGCGAAAGCCUGACGGAGCAACGCCGCGUGAGUGAUGAAGGUCUUCGGAUCGUAAAACUCUGUUAUUAGGGAAGAACAUAUGCGUAAGUAACUGUGCACAUCUUGACGGUACCUAAUCAGAAAGCCACGGCUAACUACGUG